CCCUCUGGUGGCUGCUCCCAACACCUACAGCAGCAAAAGAAUACAAUGAGGAAGUAGGAAAUCACCAAAUGCCUGGAGUAUAUUAUCACGCUGUGCGAGGACGUAGAGCAGAGGAAAGGGAGAACAGUCCAUCACCCAGUGAGGAGAUGAAGCUUCAUCCUGGACGUCCACACACAGAGCGGCAUGCAGAAGCUUCACACUCAGUUCUGAAUCCAAGCUGCCUCGACCUGACGGAAUAAAAAAAACAUGUUGGAGCA